rnacentral:rRNA from 1 species
UUGGUCCUACGGGGGGCAGCAGUGGGGAGUAUUGCACAAUGGGCGAAAGCCUGAUGCAGCAACGCCGCGUGAAGGAAGAAGGCCUUCGGGUCGUAAACUUCUGUCCUUGGGGAAGAAGAACUGACGGUACCCAAGGAGGAAGCCCCGGCUAACUACGUGCCAGCAGCCGCGGUAAUACGUAGGGGGCAAGCGUUAUCCGGAAUUAUUGGGCGUAAAGAGUACGUAGGUGGCAACCUAAGCGAAGGGAUUAAGGCAAUGGCUCA